rnacentral:lncRNA from 1 species
GCCCUUCUCGGGUCCCCUAGGUCGCGGGGCAGCCGGGGCGGAAGGGGCUUGUUCAUUAUUUUGAGAGUUUGUUGUGAACGUCAUAACCUUUCGUCCUUAAAUAUUGCCGAUACUUGACCUACGCAAGAGACAAUGUCAUGUGAUUCAGCCUAAUAUCUCAGUAUUUUGUAGCAGCAAUGGUGUGCCCGUGCAGGAGGGGACCCCUUAACUACAGUACUUGACAUGACCUGGGUAAAGGGCAUAUUCAGCAGGAGGAUGCAGCAUUCAAGGUUCUAUCUUGGAAGCAGAGACUGUGCCCUCACCAGAUGCUGAACCUGCUGAGCACCCUGAUCUUCCACUUCACCUUCAUCAGAACUGGUGCUAAGAAUUCUGAAUUUAUUGAGGAAAUAAAUGUCUGAUUGCAACAAAAGAAAACUUGUCUGGCUUUGGGAAGGAAGAGGCUUAGGAAAAAAAUUAAAGGCGUCUUUACUAGAAGUUCAAGACUGGGGCUGUGGCUGAGAUGUCACAUGGCAGAUAGGAUCACAAAUUUCUGUUGUAUCUGGAUGGAGAUCAGCAGGAGGAUCUAUGGACUGCUGUGAUUGCACCUGCCAUCUUAUGCAGAAAUGACCUGAAGACAGACUGAAACAACGUGUUCUACAGCCUGAAAAUAUCUACCUUGACUUACAGUUUUAUUAAUGCUGGUGUGAUCAGACUGGACAAAAAUUAGCAUAUGUUAUUAACUGAUCUAAUUCAAGUGCCAAUUCUUAAUAGAAACACAAAACAAUAAAAGCAAUUCAGAAAAUA